rnacentral:rRNA from 1 species
UACGUAGGUGGCAAGCGUUGUUCGGAAUUAUUGGGCGUAAAGGGCGCGUAGGCGGCUUGUUAAGUCAGUUGUGAAAGCCCGGGGCUCAACCCCGGAGGGUCGACUGAUACUGGUGAGCUGGAGUACAGAAGAGGUAGCUGGAAUUCCCGGUGUAGCGGUGAAAUGCGUAGAUAUCGAGAGGAACACCUGCGGCGAAGGCGGGUUGCUGGGCUGACACUGACGCUGACAGCGCGAAAGCUAGGGGAGCGAACGGG